rnacentral:lncRNA from 1 species
AAAAAUUGCUUGUUUUAUAUAUAUGAUAUCAUGGUUUAUUUCUAGCAUCAAAAUUGAAAUAAUGUAACAGUGAAGCGUGCGAGUUAACAAUGAGGGCAAGUCUGCUCUGUCGCCAGCAAAUUUGUUUAUUUCGCAGCAUCAAGGUUAGAUCUCGACCUUCACAUAUUUAUCUUCAUAUAAAAGAAACGAAUAACACAUUAACAGUGACACGCAAGUUCAUGUAAUCUCACAAUUAUUUGUAGCCCACCACCAUCAAUUGAUAUAUUUUUAACCACCAAAGAUCGCUUACAACAACGUUUUGUCGCACCACCUAUUGAUCACAAAAAGCUCCUCUUCUUAACUUCCUCCACAAACUCCACAAUACUCCUUGUCGACAACCCAUCCUUCACUACUGCCGCCUGUGCUUCCUUCUUCAACCUUGUCGCGUUCCUCCUCAACACCUCUGCCUUCUCCCCCACCGUCGCCUCCACCAAACACCUCUCAACAACGUCCCUCUUCACCAGCUUCGUCGUCUUCCCCAACUUCACACCCACUUCAAAAACAUCCACCAAAAGCUUCGCGUCCAACACCUGAUCCCCCCAUUGCGAGAACGUCACCACCGGCUUCCCACCACUAAUCGCCUCCAUCGUGGAGUUCCAUCCACAGUGCGUCACGAAACACGCCACCGCAGGAUGCCUUAACACCUCCUCCUGCGGGGCCCACUUCACCACUUUACCAUUCUCCUCCAGCCCCGGGGGAAACACAAUCGGUCCGUCACCUUCUCCCGGACUGGGCCGAACAACCCAUAAAAAGGACAAGCCCGAGUUUAUAAGCCCGUAAGCAAACUCCUCCCUCUGAGUGGGGUCCAUCGACGCAAUAGACCCCAACGACACGUAGACCACCGAUGACUCGUCUUUGCCGUCCAGCCAUUUGAUGCAAUUGUCGUCUACUUCCAUGAGGUCCCCACCACUUAUUUUCCCAGCGAGACACACCGGGCCCACCGGCUUGAUCAUUUUGUCGUGGAAGAAUGUGGACAAGUGACGGAUAACCUCCGGCUCUAACUCCUGGAAAGUCUCCAUUAAUAUGCACAAGACUUUGUCGUUGUCCAGGUAGGCAAACUGGUCGAAGACCGCCGUAGCCAGGUAAGGAUACGGCGUGGAAGGGAGGAGAAAGGUUGGGAUGUCGUCG